UCUGGUUGAUCCUGCCAGUAGCAUAUGCUUGUCUCAAAGAUUAAGCCAUGCAUGUCUAAGUAUAAAUAGUAUACAGUGAAACUGCGAAUGGCUCAUUAAAACAGUUAUAGUUUAUUUGAUAAUGGAAGCCUACAUGGAUAACCGUAGUAAUUCUAGAGCUAAUACAUGCGUGCAAACCUGACUGAAUUGAAAGGUUGUAUUUAUUAGAUACGAAGCCAAUAUUCCAAACGGAUUAUUGUGGUGAGUCAUAGUAACUGAUCGAAUCUCUCUUUAGAGAUAAAUCAUUCAAGUUUCUGCUCUAUCAGCUUUCGAUGGUAGUGUAUUGGACUACCAUGGCAGUCACGGGUAACGGAGAAUUAGGGUUCGAUUCCGGAGAGGGAGCCUGAGAAACGGCUACCACAUCUAAGGAAGGCAGCAGGCGCGUAAAUUACCCAAUCCUGACUCAGGGAGGUAGUGACAAGAAAUAACAACCCGGGGGAUUCACAUCCUUACGGGAUUGCAAUGAGAACAAUUUAAAUCACUUAACGAGGAUCAAUUGGAGGGCAAGUCUGGUGCCAGCAGCCGCGGUAAUUCCGGCUCCAAUAGUGUAUAUUAAAGUUGUUGCAGUUAAAAAGCUCGUAGUUGAACUUCUGUCAGCGCGCAGUUUUGGUUUUUAUCAGGCUGCGUUGCUGUCAUCCGUCUGCAAACUCUGUACAACCUUUGGUGGCUUGGCAGGGGGAGUAGACAUUUUACUUUGAAAAAAUUAGAGUGUUUCAAGCAGGUUAUUGCCAGAAUACUUUAGCAUGGAAUAAUGGAACAGGACUCUCGUCCAUUUGGUUGGUUAUUGGACCAGAGUAAUGAUUAACAGGGACAGUUGGGGGCAUUAGUAUUUAAUUGUCAGAGGUGAAAUUCAUGGAUUUAUUAAAGACUAACUUAUGCGAAAGCAUUUGCCAAGGAUGUUUUCAUUAAUCAAGAACGAAAGUUAGGGGAUCAAAGACGAUCAGAUACCGUCCUAGUCUUAACUAUAAACGAUGUCGACUCGGGAUUGGAAAGGUAUUUGUAUCCUUUCCAGCACCGUAUGAGAAAUCAUUAAGUCUUUGGAUUCUGGGGGGAGUAUGGUCGCAAGGCUGAAACUUAAAGGAAUUGACGGAAGAGCACCACAGGCGUGGGACCUGCGGCUUAAUUUGACCCAACACGGGAAAACUUAUUUCAGCAAAACAUGAGUGGGAUUGACAGAUUGAGAGCUCUUUCUUGAUUUUAUGGGGUGUGGUGCAUGGUCGUUCUUAGUUGGUGGAGUGAUUUGUCUGGUUAAUUCCGUUAACGAACGAGACCUUAACC
rnacentral:rRNA from 1 species